rnacentral:sRNA from 2 species
CUGGCCACUUGGGCAGGGGCCGCCGCAGGUUCCAUUUUGUUCCGUCGUCCCCUCUGGGUUUGCAUAGUAACAGAGCGGGGCCGAAAGUUUAGAAACCCACCAAUGAUCAUGGCCUGCAAGGCCCGUCUAUUGAUGUUUGCCGGACAACUGGGGGUGGCAUGGACCAAUAUUCUCAUGAGCUGACUCGAGGGGUGGCGGGAGCGAGAGGACAAGCGGUCCUUGGCUGUUGUCUGACUGAAUAUCUGACUCUUCCCUCAUCCUCGAGGACCCUGUGAUUACAGGAAUGGUAGCAGGAGGACAGGGACUAUUUGUCAAAUAUGAAACCUGGCAUACAUUUCCAGA